CAGUAGCCGCGGUAAUACGUAGGUGGCAAGCGUUGUCCGGAAUUAUUGGGCGUAAAGGGCUCGCAGGCGGUUUCUUAAGUCUGAUGUGAAAGCCCCCGGCCCAACCGGGGAGGGUCAUUGGAAACUGGGAAACUUGAGUGCAGAAGAGGAGAGUGGAAUUCCACGUGUAGCGGUGAAAUGCGUAGAGAUGUGGAGGAACACCAGUGGCGAAGGCGACUCUCUGGUCUGUAACUGACGCUGAGGAGCGAAAGCGUGGGGAGCGAACAGGAUUAGAUACCCCCGUAGUCCCUGUCUCUUAUAC
rnacentral:rRNA from 1 species